AAGACUCUUACUUAGGUCUGUGCAUAUAGUAUCUUUCUGCUGAUUCUUAAAGGCCUGAGCUUUGUCCUAUGUAGUGUUGGCUUCAGGCUGAGAGGAGGGUUGUUUUCCUGAACACGAUAAGGAACUGAGCAGGGCAAAGUAGGAGCUCUAACUGGUGAUUGGUAGACAGGAUGCCCUGGAAUGUGGUUGGCCUGCAGCCCAGAAUCCAGCACUUUGUAUUUGUUUGUUUCUGGGAGACUGUGGUCUGGUGCUACUGUGACAGGAAGUGAGAAAGCUGGGAGUGGGGGAACAGAGAGGGGUGAUGUCUUUGUGGUUCUCCUGUGAAAUCUCUUUGUCCCUGGAGAGCGGCUCUGCUGCAGAGCCCUACUGAGAAGAGAGCAGCCUUUGUGUCUAAUGGGUCUCAGAGCAGCUAGCUACUCUGAGGGAUUAGAGGGUGUGAGAUCUGACUGUGGCCUUUUACAUCUCAGCACUUGAGUUAUAUAAAUGGCCUUGAUCUCUUAGCAUUGAAGAGCUUACUGAGUUUUGUGUAUGCUAUGCUUAUUUAUGGAUCUAGGAUUUAAUUAAGAAUGGAAUUCUAGGAGGGCAUGGAUGAUGUUAGAUAAUGUUGAUGUACUAUGUAGGUUGCAGAAGUUGUUUGGGGUUUGAAGGGGGCAAAGAAACUGGUAAUCCUGGAGCCUUUCUGUGUGGCACCUUGCUACCCACAGGAGUACCCACCCUGCCUAUUUGAUUUCAGCAUCCCCUUACUGCAGGUGGCCAAUGUUUACCCCUAACCGGGCAUAGCUGGUAGUUCCCUGGGAUUGAAGUAGUGUACCCAUGACAGUUUGUCCUCCUCCUGCUGCCCCCUUUCUUUCUUGUUUUGUUUUUCCUGCUCUUCAUUCCAGCUGUGAAGUAGGCAUCUUUUAUCACUGUUGAUUGGGUGGCUGAGUCCUCAACUUCUUGCUAAGCUGGCUAGCUCUGAGCACACACACAGACCCGCCUUUGAUUGACCAGGAGGACAGCUGCCCUAGAGGCAGAUUGCUAACAUACCGCUAGAACAAUCCCUUCCCUCUGUCUGAUGCUGCCAGCACAGUCUUCUCUGCUUCUUGUUCCUUCUCUUUCUCAUCCCAACUGUGAUCUUUGCGCUUGACUUAGUGAGAUGUCAUAAUUAAAAAACAAUAUUUUGAUGAGAUUUUCUUAUUUGAGGUGGCAUAAGGGUGACUGUUUUUUGCUAAAUUUCUAGAUGAGGCUUGCCAAUCAAAGUAGGUGAUUGGUAUAAAGAAGUACCUGAUUUUGAUUUGAGUACUUGCUCCUUAUAAAAAGAAACUUAGUCAGAUGCUGGGAGGUGGUGGCUCAUGCUUGGGGACCACAGGUAGGCAGAUCUCUUUGAGUUCAAGGAUAGAAAGGCUACAAGGAGAGACUCCCCGUCUCUAAAUACAAAAACAAAACAACAAAAAAGAAACGUAUAGAAUACGAGCCCCAGAACUGAGGAAUGCUUUGCCUUGUAAAGGGAAGGUAAGACCCAAAGGUCCCUCGGGGUGGAUCCACUACUCCUUGCCCAUGUCUACCCUACUUCCUUCCUCAAACGUGUGUGUGUGUGUGUGUGUGUGUGUGUGUGUGUGUGUGAGAGAGAGAGAGAGAGAGAGAGAGAGAAGAUAGGAGCUCACUCUGUAGCCCAGACUAGCUUGAAAUUCUCUUGUUUCAGCCUCCCUUGUAUUUUUUGUAUUUGGAUUACAAGUAUGUAAUACUAUCAUAUCCUGCUCAAAAAAUAACAAUAAAACCCCUUGUUUUAACUUUUGUGUACUUAGGAUGACUCAUAACACUGGAAGCAUAGAAAGUUCCUACCCUCCCGUGUGGGGAGAAGUACUAUGGCCUUGAGUAGGGCUGCUUACCGGCAGUGCUACUUACGAUAUGUUCACUUAGUAUAGCAAAGCAGACAUAGCACUGUGGGCAGAGAGCCGCUGGAGCCCACCUAGGUUUUCAGAGAAUAUGGCCAUCACACAGGUACUGGCCAGACCACCUUACAGACAGGUUGGUACUGGAUCAGAAGGUACUGAGAAGAUUCUGCUGAGAAUUUCUAUGGGGAGAUUGCAGCACACUGUGCUCUAGGCCUGGGUUUUAUCUUUCAUUCAGAUGGGAAAGCAUUUCAUCCUGUUACCUGUUAAUAUAGUUAAAGUGUCGUGCUUCCUGUCACUGCUUUCUUCAUAGAUGCACUGUUGUUCAUAAAGACAGAUGUUUCCAAAACCUCACAGAAGGGGUAUCUAUUGAUAGUCUCAUCAAGGCUUUGAAAAAUGAGGGACUUUGUGCAUAUGGCUCAGGUACAUGAUUCCACCUUUUCCAAGUUAUUUUCAAAUGAUGAGCAAGAGAUGAGGAAUGACAUAGAGAGAAAGUAAAAGGAUUGGUGAGAAGCUGUGUUUUAAAAACAAAGAAUGUGAGUUCAUGUCAGUUGAAUGGCUUCUCCUAAACCCGAAGCGUAAGCUUUUCUUCUAGGGUUUUUUUUUUGGGGGGGGGGGCUGGGGGGAAUAUAAUAAAUCACAGCAGAUUUAAGAAUUUUCCUUCCCUUUCCUUUUUUUAAAAAAAAAUUUUAAUUAGAUAUUUUCUUCAUUUACAUUUCAAAUGUUAUUCACCCCCCCCUUCCUUCUCUUUUAAUAAGAGUUACACAGUAUCAUCAAAUUCUGUUAGAUUUUUCUCACUUUACUGCCCUCCCUUCAGGAAGGAGAAAGGCAUUUGGCCUGUCCCCUUCCUGGAGUCUGACCCCUCCCCCACCCCUCCCUUUUAUCUUAGUUUCCUUAUCGGCUUCUCUCGAGCCCUGCUUUUUCCUUAUAAGGCUAGGCAAGGUCCCUUUGCUUCUGUUGCAGAGGGAUCUAGAUGAGUAGCUGUCUCGGUGUCUGUUGAAAAAAUUCAGUAUCUGUCCCAGUGGAGGGCCUUGGAGAGAGGCACCUGGCUAAUGGGGGAGGAGAGGGAGGUGGCCUGGCCUGAGAGAUCAGAAGGACUUGUUAGACCAGUCCUGUGUAUGUGUCAUACAGCUCCAAAGAGAAGCAGGUUUUGUUUCUUUCCAUGCCCUCUUAGUCCUGGGUUCCUUGAUAGAGUCACACCUUUCUUUUGCUUCAAAGCUAGCCCAACUUUAGCCAGUGUUAAUAUGCUAGGAUUUGGGGAGUUGCAAGGAUAUGUAGGAGGGGGGAAAAGAGCAAAAGUAAUGUUCUAUGUUGUUUCUGAACUUAGGCCUUGACGAAGUGAUUCCCCCACCCUUCUUCCUUUUGUGAUGAUAUCUCUCAGUGUGUCGUUUCCUCAAACUCCUAUCCCAGACUCCAGUGAUCUUCCUGCCUGUGGACCAGUUUUUGUUGUGGCACAAGACCUCUUAGCUUUGUACCCCUGAACUGUAUUCCUCAGUCUCCACAUACUUUUCUGAAAUUACAAAUUUACAGUAGGAGCUACAAAUUCAUCUUGUAUGGUGGCCAUCAUCUGUAGUUUUAGCAUUCUGAAAACUGAGGUGUGAGGAUGACUUCAAGAGUUUGAAGACAGUUUGGACUAUCUAGGGUUACAGGCCAGCUUAGACUGCAGAGUGGAGAUCCUGACGCAAACAAGC
rnacentral:lncRNA from 1 species